AUUUUUUCUUAUCGAAUAUUCAGCUUGGCUUACAAUCCUGCCGUCAAUCGGUUUUAAAUUUAUUUGCGGGGCUGAAAUGUUUUCCCCCUCGAGGCUCAAAAGCCGUUUUCACGGAAGGGUUAUAACAAGCGCCGAACAGAUGAGCACCAUACACCAAUAUGAAGGGAAGUAGUACUGGAAAUACCGUGACACGUCAAUCCUCUUUUUAAAAAAACAGAAAUUUUUGUUUCAUUCAGUGCCUAGUCAUUUCUUAAUCGUGAACAAUUCUAUUCUAUUUACAAUGCAUCCGAUAUGAAAUUGACCGUUUUCCUUAUUACUUCCCCCUAAACAUAUUUUUGAUAGGUGGAUAUUUAACAAUGGUGUUGAUAUUUAUUUAUUUGAUUAUUUAUUAGAGAUCCAAAUAUUUCCAUUAUAAUGUUGGCGAUCAAAAUGCACUUCUAUUGUUUUUUUUUUAUUUGGUUUUAGGGAAGGGGUUGAUUUUCUUUGAUUUUGGCGGGUAAAGGGGAGGGCGGUUUUUUAAUAUCGAUAUCUUAGCGUGGUUUUUGUGUCGUCUGCUGCAUUCCUUUUGUUCUCAUUCUCACUUCUCAGUUUCCAAAAAAGCAAAGACGAAGGACCAAGUUUCAGUUUUCAGAUUUUUUUAAUUAUAGAAAACUUGAACGGAUCACUGAUCUGGUAACGUGCAACCUGGCUGCAAGAGAAAUCAGAGAGAAAUAGCAGAACAAAAUCAAAUGUGGUCGUGACGUGUGAACUUUGGUGUCGUGACUCCCCAUGCUCUCCACUCCAUGCUUUUGCUCAGAUUUCAGACCUGAGCCAGUCAUCGUAACUACAAGAUGUGCAAGUUCUGAUACUGACCUGUCAUUAGCAACAAUCUCAGCAUCAUCAAUUGGGUUAUGAUAAGCAGCUCCAAGUUUAAUUAGAAAAUUCUGCCCUCGUGUACACCCAUGUGAAGACGAGUGUAUAUUCACGAUGACCCCCUUUUCCUGUCAUGCCUGGCCUCAACUUUACUGAGAAUGGAGCCAUUGUGGAUGCCUGGGCUGUAGAUUUUCCGGGCUCAAAGAAAAAUGAACGAAUCACUGGUCUGGAAAGAUGUA
rnacentral:lncRNA from 1 species